rnacentral:rRNA from 1 species
UACGGGAUGGCAGCAGUGGGGAAUAUUGGACAAUGGGGGCAACCCUGAUCCAGCCAUGCCGCGUGAGUGAAGAAGGCCUUAGGGUUGUAAAAGCUCUUUCACCCGUGACGAUAAUGACGGUAG